rnacentral:rRNA from 1 species
GACGAACGCUGGCGGCGUGCUUAACACAUGCAAGUCGAACGGUAAGGCCCUUCGGGGUACACGAGUGGCGAACGGGUGAGUAACACGUGGGUGAUCUGCCCUGCACUUCGGGAUAAGCCUGGGAAACUGGGUCUAAUACCGGCUAGGACUCCUGGCUUCAUGGCUGGGGGUGGAAAGCUUUUGCGGUGUGGGAUGGGCCCGCGGCCUAUCAGCUUGUUGGUGGGGGAAUGGCCUACCAAGGCGACGACGGGUAGCCGGCCUGUGAGGGUGACCGGUCACACUGGGACUGAGAUACGGCCCAGACUCCUGCGGGAGGCAGCAGUGGGGAAUAUUGCACAAUGGGCGCAAGCCUGAUGCAGCGACGCCGCGUGAGGGAUGACGGCCUUCGGGUUGUAAACCGCUUUCAGCAGGGAUGAAACUGACAGUACCUGCAGAAGAAGCCCCGGCUAACUACGUGCCAGCCGCCGCAGUAA